rnacentral:misc_RNA from 1 species
UUGAAUACUGAAUCGGUUCUGAUGCUGGCUCUUCACUGGGCAUGUGCUCGUCCGUUCAUAUUUACCUUCUCUUGUGCACAUUUUGUAGUCUUGAACGUACCUCUCGCAGUCAAAUGCGGUUUGGGAGCUUGGGCGCAAGCCCUUCUCCUGCUUCUUCAAGGCUAUGUUUUCAUAUACACUAUAAAGUUACAGAAUGUCUUUUAACGAUUGCGCUUGUCGUAGUCAUUAAACCUAUA